ensembl:lncRNA
CAUGGGGUUGCACAAAGUUGGACAUGACUGAGCGACUGAACUGAACUGAACUGAAGCAUCCUAGCAUGAAAGUGAUUUGGUCAUAUGUUACAGUUGAGGAGGUAGCAGUGAAAAGAGGAUGAGGAUUUGACUUCCCUUGUCUCCGCGAUCACGACUCUGUGCCUGUGUGUGUACAAUGGGAGGUAGAGGAGCAUACAAAAUGAAAGGCUACAGCUCCUCUGCAGGGGUUCAUGCAGCUGCGAGUGUUGUCAUUGUUUCAUCAUGCCAGUGACUGCAACCUUUCAGUCAUAAAAACCUUUAAGUGUCCACAGGAUGGAAAAAUGGAUUUAUUUUGCAGCAAAGAAACAUACAGGUGGG